UAACGACAUUGACGACAAUAGUAAAUCCGUUACACUGACAUCCACUGACAUUAUUCGUGGUGAGGAGAGUACAGUCGAUGCGGUGUACAUUUCUGUUGAAUAAAUUGGUCCACGAUGUGGUACGAUAUGCUUCCAGUAAUGGGUAUACUGGGAUCUCUUUGUCUAAUACCCCAUAUCAUCCCAACUUACAUAAACGAGUGGAAGUUUGGAAAUCCAAUGCGUAGAAGAUUGGAGAAAGACUGGGAUAGGAGAAUGUUUGAGAGAGAUUCUGCAUUAACUGGUAAAGUUUGGCAGAAUGCGGGCUUGGAGAACAUUCCAGACAAAUAGAGUCGUAAAUUCAUUUCAGAAUACAGUUGUAACGCAUUAUUGUAUAAAUUAAAUAAUAAUAUAUAGAAUAUGUGUAUUACUUGUAAGAUAAAGAACCAGACACUAUAACGGAUGUCUUUUUGAAAAUGUUUGUUUGGUGUAGACAAGUACUACAACUAAAUAAACGUAAAUAAUCGUAAGAAUGUAUAUAAGAUUAUAUAUGUGGUGUUAUUUUUUAAGCUAAAAUAUUCAUUAAAAUUCGAUAUCUUUUUUCUUUA